AUACGUAGGGGGCGAGCGUUGUCCGGAAUGAUUGGGCGUAAAGGGCGCGUAGGCGGCCCGGUAAGUCUGGAGUGAAAGUCCUGUUUUUAAGAUGGGAAUUGCUUUGGAUACUGUCGGGCUUGAGUGCAGGAGAGGUAAGUGGAAUUCCCAGUGUAGCGGUGAAAUGCGUAGAGAUUGGGAGUAACACCAGUGGCGAAGGCGACUUACUGGACUGUAACUGACGCUGAGACGCACAAGUGUGGGGAGCACACAGGAUUAGAUACCCUGAUAGUCCGAACUGUAAACGAUGAAUGCUAGGUGUAGGGAGUAUCGUCCCAUUCUGUGCCGCAGUCAACACAAUAAGCAUUCCGCCUUGGGAGUACGGCCGCAAGGUUGAAACUCAAAUGAAUGGACGGGA
rnacentral:rRNA from 1 species